rnacentral:rRNA from 1 species
GAUGAACGCUGGCGGCGUGCCUAAUACAUGCAAGUCGAGCGAACAGAUGAGGAGCUUGCUCCUCUGACGUUAGCGGCGGACGGGUGAGUAACACGUGGAUAACCUACCUAUAAGACUGGGAUAACUUCGGGAAACCGGAGCUAAUACCGGAUAAUAUAUUGAACCGCAUGGUUCAAUAGUGAAAGACGGUUUUGCUGUCACUUAUAGAUGGAUCCGCGCCGCAUUAGCUAGUUGGUAAGGUAACGGCUUACCAAGGCAACGAUGCGUAGCCGACCUGAGAGGGGGGUGGGCCAAAGUGAAAGUGAGACACGGUCCAGCACCCGAGGGGAGGCAGCGUGGGGGAAUCUUCCGAAAUGGGGGAAAGCCUGACGGAGCAACGCCGGGGGGGGGAAGAAGGGCUUCGGGUCGUAAAACGCUUUUUUUGGGGAAAAAAAAAUGUGUAAGUAACGAUGCGUGUUUUGACGGAACCGAAUAAGAAGGCCCCGGCUAACUCGGU